rnacentral:lncRNA from 1 species
GAAGAAUACCAACAUUUGUGCAUACUCAAGUCCUGCAAGUCCUGCGGUGUGCCCUGUGGAACUCAAGGACACGAAAAGUCAGCACUCCAUGUAUGGAGGUUUUGUAUCCCACUAAUCCUGUAUUUUCCAUUUGCUUUGAGUUGUGGAUGUGGAACCUGCUGAUAAAGACGGCUGACUGCAUUUAUUGAAAAAAACUCCACAUAUAAGCAGACGUUCGUUCCUCUUCAAUUCUACCUGAAGACACUGUUUCCAGAUUAGUCUUGAAUAAAUCAUCAUGCCAUCCUACUCCUUAGGCAAAGUGAUGAAGAACUAAAAGCCAAGAAAUUUUGGCUUGAGUUCAGGUCCUGUCGCCUAAAAUCUGAUCUUGGACAAAAUAUAUCUUUUCUGAGUAUGUUUUUCUGAGUUUCUCAUAUUAUCUCUCUCUCUCUCUCUCUCUCUCUCUCUCUCUCUCUCCCUCCCCACCCCCCAAUCCCAAACACCCAGCCCCUGCCAAUAACAAUCACUUCCAUAAUACAUGGUUCUUAUGACAAUCACAUGUAGUGAAUAACUUGAGAAAACAUUAAACACUUGGAAUUACAAAAUAGAAAAUAGUAAAAUACUUGGGGCUAUCAACUCAACAGUCUAAACUUAAAACCAGUAGUCAGCCUGUCUAAUUUUAAUUGUGACCAUAUAUAGAUUCUGAUAUAUAGUUUUCUUUCUUUAAUAUACAACCCAUGAAAAUAAAAUUAAUUUUGUGAACUUUUACAUAAAAUGAUAUUUGUUAGUUCAAGGUCGCAUUCCUUAGACUGUUUAUCCAUGACACUCACCAUGCUUUAACAGUUUUAUCUGUAGAACACUUCAGCCAUUGUUUCAGUAUUCUUAUUUUUCUUGUUUUUUUUCUCCUCCCAAAUAUAUACAUGUGCCUAUGCACACACACAUAUACACUCACGUUCAAAACCACUGUACAUAGAACAUUUUAUUGAAUACAUAAUAAAACAAUCAAAUAAUUUCAAGGGAAAUGGUAAGAACUACUUUCAAAUAUUUUAUUUAAAAGAGAACUUGUGGCUGUUACAUAACUUAAUGAUAUUUAAACAAUUCUGAGAAUUUUGAAAGGUGAAAAUGAUUGCACUCUCGUAACAUGCUACAAAUCAGAGUAGUAUUCUCCAAUGAAAUAGAGAUGCUUCUAAUGCCAUGUUACCAGUGGGUUUCCUCUCUUUUUACUCUUUCUUGAAGAACUCAAGCCACACUGAUAUUUCUACAAUCAGAAAGCUCUUGAAAUGCACAUGUUAGAUGGUUGGCUAUUGGGUGAAUCAAGGACAUCUACACACUUACUUAUUCUCCACCCCACCAAACAUAGGACAAACCUGUUAAGUAAAAUAUGAAGCCAAAAUUAGCAUCCCCUGGCCAGGCGUGGUGGCUCACGCCUGUACUUCCAGCACUUUGGGAGGCCGAGGAAGGUGGAUCACUUGAGGUUAGGAGUUCAAGAUCAAGAUUAGCCUGGCCAACAUGGUGAAACCCUAUCUCUACUAAAAAAUACAACAAUUAGCCAGCUGCAGUGGCACACACCUGUAGUCCCAGCUAGUCGGGAGGCUGAGGCAGGGGAAUCACUUUAACUCAGGAGGCAGAGGUUGCAGUGAGCCAAGAUUGCACCAGUGCACUCCAGCCUGGGCAACAGGGCAAGACUCUGUCUCAAAAAAAAUAAAAAAUAGCAUCCCUAGAGUUUUUAUAUCAAAAUGAUUUAGAAUAGUUUAGAUAGUUUCAUAUUAAUUGAUUUAGAACUUUUCAUGCUCUCUCAAGAUUGUAUUUUAGAAGGUAAACCAAUGUUGUUAUGAAACAUGCAAUGCAUAAAAAGUCUAAACAAGUGUGUGCAUGAAUUUAUAUAUAUUCAGCUGUAGCUUAUGAUGUUAAUAUAAUAAACACCUGAGCUAUCAAAACACAAGUUAAAAUACAGAACUUUAUAGUUCCUCAGAAGCUGUCUGCAUUUAUGCCAUUGUUCUCCUCCUGAAGACAUAACCAUGAUCCAAUAUUUUGUAUUAAACAUACCUUUGCUGGAACUUAUAAUUAUACAACUUAAUUAUGCAUCUCGUAAAAAGAUAUUGCUUGUGACAGUGGCUUUUAAAAUUUGCAUAAGUAGACUCAUACUGUAAUGAAUUCAUGCUGUAUUAUCCUGUGACUUACUUUUGAAAAAACUGAAAGAUAUAAUAAAUCUGAUAAAGAGAUUUAUUCAUAUAGCUGAAUAUCGUUCUAAUACAGUCUUCACUGCUGUAUUGUACUUCCUUAUAUAAAUAUACUGCAAUAACCUAAUUUUCUAUUGAUACAUAUUAGAGGCAUUUCAGUUUUGACCUUUAUGAAAUUACUUCCAAGCACAGAAUUACUGGGUCACAGAGUGUGUGCACUUUCAGUUUUAUAAGGAACGUGGAUUGUGUAGAUUGCAGCUUUGUAUCAUAUCCUUGAAACCUUGUAUAUUCAUUUCAGUUCAAGUUACCUGAGGUCUGACUGAAGCCCUUAGGCUAGAAAAAGACUUUGACACUUGCUAACUCUGUGCUUACCUGUUUCAUUUUAUUUGAGCCUAUUGAAUUCCUUUUAUUUGGGCCAUGUACUUCUUAAAGUAUGUUUGAUUGUCUAGGAUGUUAUAUGUGUCACUUUGAAUUUUGGUUUUAUUUACUUUUUUGCUUAAUUUUUCCUAAUAACUAUGUUGAAAAUAAAUAUGCAGUUAUAUUCUAGUCAUCUUCCCUUGAUGUACUUUGAUCUUCUAUAUUUAUUUUUCUCUUACAAAUUAUUUUGCUUUUUUCUACUCUUAGUUUUAUUAUUUACAAAAUUAGCCCUUUUUUUAAAAAAUUCCAUCUCUAUCUCUCACUUUCUUUGUGAUUAUUUUAAGUGGCUUACGUUAACGUGCUUUAGGAAAGUUGUAGAUUUGCUAUAAAUCUGUCUUCAUAGCAAGGAACAACGGUCAUAGAUUAUGUCAUAAUAAUUGGUGGUGGCAGGAAAACAGUCAUUAAAAUCAAUACAGUGUGUAUCAGUCAGGGCUGGGCACCAAGGCUCAUGCUGUAAUCCCAGCACUUUGAGAGGCUGAGGUGGGAAGAUCACUUAAGGC